ACCAAAAAAAAAAUUACAAAAAAUUAGCCAGGCAUGUUGGUGCUUGCCUUAGUCCCAG
rnacentral:antisense_RNA from 1 species